rnacentral:lncRNA from 1 species
CCCUGGGUCUGCAUUCCUUUGCGUUUACCACGGACUUGGGGCGGGAUCAAAGGGAAAGUGGCCCGAGCCUGUUUAAUCAAGGGCUUGUGGACCGAAACCAAGCCUGAGGUGGCGGAGGGCACGCGGGUGAGGGGCCGAGGACGAGAAAGGGUCGGUCCUGGGCGCUGCGCCUUCCCUCCAGCAGGGCGCGGAGCCUCAGGCACCGGGAGGGCUGCACUGACCCGCAGUUCUGCCAGAGGUCAGGCCAGACUGCGCCCGGCGCGGGGAGACACCGAGAAGGCCAGCCUUUCUUCGGGAGGCUGCUUAGCGCUUGUGACCAUAUUUGGUCUGGUGAAAAGGCAUCUUGGCUGCUUGGCCUUCAAUUGUCUGCUAGAGCGCAGACGGUGCCCAGAAAGUGCCUCUGUUGCCGGAGACGCAGCUUCGCCCACGGGUGGGUUGUAAACAACCUUCAAAUCAUUCACCAAUCCUUCAUUUCCUCCACGGGGUGAAGGGCCAGAAGGGGUAAAGAAGAAACCGGAUCAAAGCUGGGUGCUGGAAGGGGAGAGCAGUUGCGCCCCCCUCCCCCGCGACAUCCGCGCGGGUAGUGGGAGGAUUGGAAUGUCCCUGACGCCCUCCAGGGAGCCUGCAGCCAGGAUGGAACACAGGCAGGUGGCUGGGAGUAGAGAGGGUGCGCCAGUGACCCGGAAAAAGCCACCCACCCUCCCACUGCCUGGAUAAGGGCAAGGGGGAGACCCCCGCCUCGGGGAGGAGGUCUGGCCUGGAGAGACAGCUGCGGGGAAGUGGGAGGCGGCCUCGCCCUCCGCAGCAGCUCAAUUCCUUCCCUCCCUCGACCCUUUUCCCUUGCCCGAAAAGAAGAUAUGGCUGCAAGGUAAGUUAGGCUCCAGGAGGCCCCCACCCUUCCCACUGACCCAAAUAGAGGUUUAUUAAAGAAGCCAAGGGGGCGAUAUAUGUUCCGCCCUUUGCUCAGCACUGGGCCACCUACACACCGCUUGUUAAAUA